rnacentral:rRNA from 1 species
ACGGAGGUUGCGAGCGUUGUUCGGAAUAACUAGGCGUAAAGGGAGGGCAGGCGGUUGGGUAAGUCUAAAGUGCAACCCCGGGGCUCAACUCCGGAAGUGCUUUGGAUACUACCCAUCUCGAGUUCGUGAGAGGAAAGCGGAAUUCCAGGUGUAGCGGUGAAAUGCGGAGAUAUCUGGAGGAGCUCCGGUGGCGAAAGCGGCUUUCUGGCACGAUACUGGCGCUGAGGCUCGAGAGCGUGGGGAGCAAGCAG